rnacentral:ncRNA from 1 species
UAAGAUGCGCGCGCUCAAGGUGAUCGCCGACACACAAUCGGCGAUUGAAACGGGAAUCCGGUCCCCGCUUCUGGCAUUCGCCAGGUCGGUCAAUCCGGAGCUGCCCCCGCAACGGUAAGCGAGUACACGCACCGCACGACGCCACUGUGUUCCGACACGGGAAGGCGCGGUACGGGAGACCCGGUCCGAUCUCGGACCGCCUCCGCUCGCAAGCCCGGAGACCGGCCCGGAGCGCGAACCGACA